AGUGAACGCUGGCGGUAGGCCUAACACAUGCAAGUCGAACGGCAGCACAGAGGAGCUUGCUCCUUGGGUGGCGAGUGGCGGACGGGUGAGGAAUACAUCGGAAUCUACUCUGUCGUGGGGGAUAACGUAGGGAAACUUACGCUAAUACCGCAUACGACCUACGGGUGAAAGCAGGGGACCUUCGGGCCUUGCGCGAUUGAAUGAGCCGAUGUCGGAUUAGCUAGUUGGCGGGGUAAAGGCCCACCAAGGCGACGAUCCGUAGCUGGUCUGGGAGGAGGAUCAGCCACACGGGAACUGAGACACGGUCCAGACUCCUACGGGAGGCAGCAGUGGGGAAUAUUGGACAAUGGGCGCAAGCCUGAUCCGGCCAUACCGCGUGGGUGAAGAAGGCCUUCGGGUUGUAAAGCCCUUUUGUUGGGAAAGAAAUCCAGCUGGCUAAUACCCGGUUGGGAUGACGGUACCCAAAGAAUAAGCACCGGCUAACUUCGUGCCAGCCGCCGCCGUAA
rnacentral:rRNA from 1 species